rnacentral:sRNA from 1 species
AGCUUCCGGCCAAGUUGGACUGCCCCUCGCAGUUUCCUGGCUUCCAGGGGUAUUGCAGGCACCAAUGGAACAGGUUGGGGAGGAGAGUUUGGGACCAAGAACACCCAUGAACCCUUAGAAGCCACCAUAGAGAUCCCUACAUCCCACCCCAAGAGCUGCAGAGUGUCCUGCUGAGAUCGCUGCGUGUCAGCAUCUGCAGAAACUACCUUCUCCUCCAACCUGACUGUCCUGACCUGAAGGACAGCCUGCCCAAGGACUUCUAGUACACCAGGCUCUCCACUGGGCCCUUGAACUGGUGAUGGUUGAUGGGACUCCCCUAGUCUGCUCCCAAGCUAGAAGCUGCAGAAUGUGAUGACCUGGGGUCCCUGCUCGGAGCCUGGCCUCCCGGGAGUCUACACACCUGUGAAUCCCUUCA